rnacentral:lncRNA from 1 species
GAUUAUUAAUGUAGCAUAUGCGUGACUCGUUUAUAAAUUUUUAAUUAUAUCAAAAUUAACUUAUGUUAGAUAAUUGUUGCAAGCUGCUCUUUUUUCUUCGUUGUUUAUUGUGAACUAGUCCCGGUCGUUUGCUUGCUGGGACUGGAUUAAAUUUGAUAUAGAUUAAACUCGAUGUAAAUGUUUUUCCUUAUAAAUCUUUUAGCAUAUUAUAUAUAUAUAUAUAAUCUGGAGCUAUGCUUAACU